rnacentral:rRNA from 1 species
UAGGGAAUCUUCCGCAAUGGGCGAAAGCCUGACGGAGCAAUGCCGCGUGAGUGAUGAAGGUUUUCGGAUCGUAAAGCUCUGUUGCCAGGGAAGAACGCUUGGGAGAGUAACUGCUCUCAAGGUGACGGUACCUGAGAAGAAAGCCCCGGCUAACUACGUGCCAGCAGCCGCGGUAAUACGUAGGGGGCAAGCGUUGUCCGGAAUUAUUGGGCGUAAAGCGCGCGCAGGCGGUCAUGUAAGUCUGGUGUUUAAUCCCGGGGCUCAACCCCGGAUCGCACUGGAAACUGCGUGACUUGAGUGCAGAAGAGGAGAGUGGAAUUCCACGUGUAGCGGUGAAAUGCGUAGAGAUGUGGAGGAACACCAGUGGCGAAGGCGACUCUCUGGGCUGUAACUGACGCUGAGGCGCGAAAGCGUGGGGAGCAAACAGGAUUAGAUACCCUGGUAGUCCACGCCGUAAACGAUGAGUGCUAGGUGUUAGGGGUUUCGAUACCCUUGGUGCCGAAGUUAACACA